GGAUGCGUUGACUUUAAUUCUCUAUAACUUCUUCAUCCAAACUCCAAAUUCAUCAAAAAAUAUAUGAAAAGUAUAGUCGAAGAAGUGCCCUCUUCAAUCCUGGUUGCCAAUCCUUUGUUGCUCUCCGUAAAUAUAUGUUAUGCUCCAAAGAGUGAUAGUAGAUAUGAAAUUGACACCUUAACUUUGAGCACCAAUAACUCCUUCAUAAAAACUCCAAAUUACUUAAAAUUUGCAUCCA
rnacentral:lncRNA from 1 species